rnacentral:rRNA from 1 species
AUUGAACGCUGGCGGCAGGCCUAACACAUGCAAGUCGAGCGGAUGAAGGGAGCUUGCUCCUGGAUUCAGCGGCGGACGGGUGAGUAAUGCCUAGGAAUCUGCCUGGUAGUGGGGGAUAACGUCCGGAAACGGGCGCUAAUACCGCAUACGUCCUGAGGGAGAAAGUGGGGGAUCUUCGGACCUCACGCUAUCAGAUGAGCCUAGGUCGGAUUAGCUAGUUGGUGGGGUAAAGGCCUACCAAGGCGACGAUCCGUAACUGGUCGGAGAGGAUGAUCAGUCACACAGAACGUGACAAGCGGCCAAGCCCCAUAGGGGGGGCAGCAGGGGGGAAUUUGGGAAAAGGGGGGAAAUCCUGAUCCACCCAUGCCGGGGGUGUGAAGAAGGUUUUCGGAUUGGAAAGCAUUUUAAGUGGGGAAAAAGGGGAGUAAGUUAAACCUUUGCUGUUUUGACGUUACCAACAAAAAAAGCACCGGCUAACUUCGU